rnacentral:rRNA from 1 species
UACGUAGGGUGCGAGCGUUGUCCGGAAUUACUGGGCGUAAAGAGCUUGUAGGUGGUUUGUCGCGUUGUUCGUGAAAUCUCACGGCUUAACUGUGAGCGUGCGGGCGAUACGGGCAGACUAGAGUACUGCAGGGGAGACUGGAAUUCCUGGUGUAGCGGUGGAAUGCGCAGAUAUCAGGAGGAACACCGGUGGCGAAGGCGGGUCUCUGGGCAGUAACUGACGCUGAGGAGCGAAAGCGUGGGGAGCAAACAGG